rnacentral:misc_RNA from 1 species
GAUGAAGAACGUAGCGAAAUGCGAUACGUAAUGUGAAUUGCAGAAUUCAGUGAAUCAUCGAGUCUUUGAACGCACAUUGCGCCCCCUGGUAUUCCGGGGGGCAUGCCUGUCCGAGCGUCAUUGCUGCCCUCAAGCACGGCUUGUGUGUUGGGCCUCCGUCCUCCGCCCGGGGGACGGGCCCGAAAGGCAGCGGCGGCACCGCGUCCGGUCCUCGAGCGUAUGGGGCUUCGUCACCCGCUCUUGUAGGCCCGGCCGGCGCUUGCCGACACAUCAAUCUUUUUUCCAGGUUGACCUCGGAUCAGGUAGGGAUACCCGCUGAACUUAAGCAUAUCAAUAAGCGGAGGA